AUUGAACGCUGGCGGCAGGCCUAACACAUGCAAGUCGAGCGGAGCGGCGGACGGGUGAGUAAUGCCUAGGAAUCUGCCUGGUAGUGGGGGAUAAGGUCCGGAAAGGGGCACUAAUACCGCAUACUAUCAGAUGAGCCUAGGUCGGAUUAGCUAGUUGGGGGGGUAAAGGCCUACCAAGGCCACGAUCCGUAACUGGUCCGGGAGGAUGACCAGUCACACUGGAACUGAGACACGGUCCAGACUCCUACGGGAGGCAGCAGUGGGGAAUAUUGGACAAUGGGCGAAAGCCUGAUACAGCCAUGCCGCGUGUGUGAAGAAGGUCUUCGGAUUGUAAAGCACUUUAAGUUGGGAGGCGUUACCAGCAGAAUAAGCACCGGCUAACUUCGUGCCAGCAGCCGCGGUAAUUC
rnacentral:rRNA from 1 species